rnacentral:rRNA from 1 species
CGAUUCUGGCUCAGGAUGAACGCUAGCUACAGGCUUAACACAUGCAAGUCGAGAGGCAGCAUGAUCGAAGCUUGCUUUGAUUGAUGGCGACCGGCGCACGGGUGAGUAACGCGUAUCCAACCUUCCCUAUAGUAGAGAAUAGCCCGGCGAAAGUCGGAUUAAUGCUCUAUGUUGUAUUUAGAAGACAUCUGAAGAAUACCAAAGGUUUACCGCUAUAGGAUGGGGAUGCGUCUGAUUAGGUUGUUGGCGGGGUAACGGCCCACCAAGCCCACGAUCAGUAGGGGUUCUGAGAGGAAGGUCCCCCACAUUGGAACUGAGACACGGUCCAAACUCCUACGGGAGGCAGCAGUGAGGAAUAUUGGUCAAUGGACGCAAGUCUGAACCAGCCAAGUAGCCGUGCAGGAUGACGGCCCUAUGGGUUGUAAACUGCUUUUAUACAGGGAUAAAGUGAGGGACGUGUCCCUUUUUGUAGGUACUGUAUGAAUAAGGACCGGCUAAUUCCGUGCCAGCCGCCGC